UCUCUUAUGGUACAGUACAGCGGGAGGGUACGCAGGGCAACGGCCAUUGUGUCGAUGCCUGGGACCUGGGUUCGAACCCCAGUAAGAGAU